UAUAUAUAUAUAUAUAUAUAUAUAUAUAUAUAUAUAUAUAUAUAUAUAUAUAUAUAGGUAGGUAGGUAGGUAAGUAGACAAAAAUAAUACCUGUACAUUUAGACAAAACAUGGAUAGACAGACAGACAGACAUGUGAGUAGACAGAAAGACAUGUAGAUUGAAAGACAGAAAUAAAAUACUCGUACAUUAUAGACAGACAUAUGGACACAGACAGAUCUAUGUGUAGACCGACAAGUACAGACAAUACAUACAUGUAGCUAGACUGACAGGUACAUAUAGACAGACAGACAUAUAGGUAGGUAAACAGAUAUGACAUGACAGGUACAGACAUGCAGGUAAGUAGACAGAUAGAUAGAUAGACAGACAGAGGCAGAAUAAAACAGAUAGGCAGACAAUAUUCAGUACAGUGGAUGUAAAUGUUUAUACCGAAAUCACCAAUGAUACCAAAAUAAAUCAUGUCAGAUAACCCGAAAAUUCAAGUGAAAAGCAAAAAGAAUCAUUUCAGGCGGGGGAAAAAAACUCGCAACAGCCUGGUUGCAUAAAUUUGCACACCCCUCAACUAAUACUCUGUUAAAGCACUCAGGAAGACUCUCUGAAAUCUCAAAAAUACUCCAGAACCACCAAAUUGUGAGGUGAUCUGUGCCCAGACAUCUUCACAUUAAGUUUUCAGUAGGCUUUAGAUAUGGGCAUUAAAUAUGGGAGAUUUCCAGUUCUAUGUAUGACUUAUUUGGAAUUGUGCUUUGCAUCAAUAUUGUGCUUGAAAGAGAACAUUUGGAUCUAUCCAUGACUCCAUCCCUCUUGAAAA